GCCUACCGUAUGGUAGGACUGGAUGUUCCGCGUCUCUCCUUUGGGGAACAGGCACGCGAGUGCCGGGGAACCAAGUAUUACUGUGAAGAAAUUAGAGUGUUUAAAGCAGGCGUUUGCUUGAAUACGUUAGCAUGGAAUAAUAAGAUAGGACUUUGGUUCUAUUUUGUUGGUUUGAGGACCAAGGUAAUGAUUAAUAGGGACAGUUGGGGGCAUUAGUAUUCAGUAGU
rnacentral:rRNA from 1 species